GGGCCCGCACAAGCGGUGGAGUAUGUGGUUUAAUUCGAUGAUACGCGAGGAACCUUACCAGGGCUUAAAUGCAUAAUGACAGGGGUAGAGAUACCCUUUUCUUCGGACAUUUUGCAAGGUGCUGCAUGGUUGUCGUCAGCUCGUGUCGUGAGAUGUUGGGUUAAGUCCCGCAACGAGCGCAACCCUUGUCCUUAGUUACCAGCGGGUUAAGCCGGGAACUCUAAGGAUACUGCCAGUGACAAACUGGAGGAAGGCGGGGACGACGUCAAGUCAUCAUGGCCCUUACGACCAGGGCUACACACGUGCUACAAUGGUAGGUACAGAGGGCAGCUACACAGCGAUGUGAUGCGAAUCUCAAAAAGCCUAUCGUAGUCCAGAUUGGAGUCUGCAACUCGACUCCAUGAAGUAGGAAUCGCUAGUAAUCG
rnacentral:rRNA from 1 species